rnacentral:rRNA from 1 species
AUUGAACGCUGGCGGCAUGCCUUACACAUGCAAGUCGAACGGCAGCACGGAGCUUGCUCUGGUGGCGAGUGGCGAACGGGUGAGUAAUACAUCGGAACGUGCCCAGUCGUAGGGGAUAACUACGCGAAAGCGUAGCUAAUACCGCAUACGAACUCUGGUUGAAAGCGGGGGAUCGCAAGACCUCGCGCGAUUGGAGCGGCCGAUGGCAGAUUAGGUAGUUGGUGGGGUAAAGGAUCACCAAGCCGACGAUCUGUAGCUGGUCUGAGAGGACGACCAGCCACACUGGGACUGAGACACGGCCCAGACUCCGACGGGAGGCAGCAGUGGGGAAUUUUGGACAAUGGGCGCAAGCCUGAUCCAGCCAUUCCGCGUGCAGGAUGAAGGCCCUCGGGUUGUAAACUGCUUUUGUACGGAACGAAACGCGCCGGGUUAAUACCCUGGCGUAAUGACGGUACCGUAAGAAUAAGCACCGGCUAACUACGUGCCAGCCGCCGCAGUAA